UAGGGAAUCUUCGGCAAUGGGGGGAACCCUGACCGAGCAACGCCGCGUGAGUGAAGAAGGUUUUCGGAUCGUAAAGCUCUGUUGUUAAGGAAGAACGUGUGUGAGAGUGGAAAGUUCACACAGUGACGGUACUUAACCAGAAAGGGACGGCUAACUACGUGCCAGCAGCCGCGGUAAUACGUAGGUCCCGAGCGUUGUCCGGAUUUAUUGGGCGUAAAGCGAGCGCAGGCGGUUAGAUAAGUCUGAAGUGAAAGGCAGUGGCUCAACCAUUGUAGGCUUUGGAAACUGUUUAACUUGAGUGCAGAAGGGGAGAGUGGAAUUCCAUGUGUAGCGGUGAAAUGCGUAGAUAUAUGGAGGAACACCGGUGGCGAAAGCGGCUCUCUGGUCUGUAACUGACGCUGAGGCUCGAAAGCGUGGGGAGCGAACAGGAUUAGAUACCCUGGUAGUCCACGCCGUAAACGAUGAGUGCUAGGUGUUAGGUCCUUUCCGGGACUUAGUGCCGCAGCUAACGCAUUAGGCACUCCGCCUGGGGAGUACGACCGCAAGGUUG
rnacentral:rRNA from 1 species